rnacentral:rRNA from 1 species
CAUGCAUGUCUCAGUACAAGCCAAAUUAAGGUGAAACCGCGAAAGGCUCAUUAAAUCAGUUAUGGUUCCUUAGAUCGUANNNNNNNUUACUUGGAUAACUGUGGUAAUUCUAGAGCUAAUACAUGCAAAGUAGAGCUCCGACCGGAAACGGGAGGAGUGCUUUUAUUAGAUCAAAACCAAUCGGCGGCGGACGCGUUCGCGCGUUCGUCAUCGUAUAACUUGGUGACUCUGAAUAACUUUAUGCUGAUCGCACGGUCUCGCACCGGCGACGCAUCUUUCAAAUGUCUGCCUUAUCAACUGUCGAUGGUAGGUUCUGCGCCUACCAUGGUUGUAACGGGUAACGGGGAAUCAGGGUUCGAUUCCGGAGAGGGAGCCUGAGAAACGGCUACCACAUCCAAGGAAGGCAGCAGGCGCGCAAAUUACCCACUCCCGGCACGGGGAGGUAGUGACGAAAAAUAACGAUACGGGACUCAUCCGAGGCCCCGUAAUCGGAAUGAGUACACUCUAAAUCCUUUAACAAGGAUCAAUUGGAGGGCAAGUCUGGUGCCAGCAGCCGCGGUAAUUCCAGCUCCAAUAGCGUAUAUUAAAGUUGUUGCGGUUAAAAAGCUCGUAGUCGAAUUUGUGUCUCGCGCCGCCGGUUCAUCGUUCGCGGUGUUAACUGGCGUUUUGCGGGACGUCCUGCCGGUGGACUUAGCUCGCGAGAGCGGUCCAAUUUAAUCCCGCCGCGGUGCUCUUCACUGAGUGUCGAGGUGGGCCGGCACGUUUACUUUGAACAAAUUAGAGUGCUUAAAGCAGGCUGAAAUUUUGCCUGAAUACUGUGUGCAUGGAAUAAUAGAAUAGGACCUCGGUUCUAUUUUGUUGGUUUUCGGAACCCCGAGGUAAUGAUUAAUAGGUACGGAUGGGGGCAUUCGUAUUGCGACGUUAGAGGUGAAAUUCUUGGAUCGUCGCAAGACGGACAGAAGCGAAAGCAUUUGCCAAAAACGCUUUCAUUGAUCAAGAACGAAAGUUAGAGGCUCGAAGGCGAUCAGAUACCGCCCUAGUUCUAACCAUAAACGAUGCCAGCUAGCGAUCCGCCGACGUUCCUCCGAUGACUCGGCGGGCAGCUUCCGGGAAACCAAAGCUUUUGGGUUCCGGGGGAAGUAUGGUUGCAAAGCUGAAACUUAAAGGAAUUGACGGAAGGGCACCACCAGGAGUGGAGCCUGCGGCUUAAUUUGACUCAACACGGGAAACCUCACCAGGCCCGGACACCGGAAGGAUUGACAGAUUGAGAGCUCUUUCUUGAUUCGGUGGGUGGUGGUGCAUGGCCGUUCUUAGUUGGUGGAGCGAUUUGUCUGGUUAAUUCCGAUAACGAACGAGACUCUAACCUACUAACUAGGCGUAUUAGACAUCCUAAAGGCCCGCUCGUCCGGAGUUCGCUUCGCGACUUGCGCGGUUUUUACUGUCUGCGUACAUAUUAUUCUUCUUAGAGGGACAGGCGGCUUCUAGCCGCACGAGAAUGAGCAAUAACAGGUCUGUGAUGCCCUUAGAUGUUCUGGGCCGCACGCGCGCUACACUGAAGGAAUCAACGUGUCUUCCCUGACCGAACGGUCCGGGUAACCCGCUGAACCUCCUUCGUGCUAGGGAUUGGGGCUUGCAAUUGUUCCCCAUGAACGAGGAAUUCCCAGUAAGCGCGAGUCAUAAGCUCGCGUUGAUUACGUCCCUGCCCUUUGUACACACCGCCCGUCGCUACUACCGAUUGAAUGAUUUAGUGAGGUCUUCGGAC